rnacentral:lncRNA from 1 species
UCUUAAACCUAAUUAUAUGUUAAUAUUGAUUUCCAUAUGCUAGAAUUAGGGUUUAUAGUCUUGGAUUCAAAGCAUGUACAAUAGAGAAACCUAGAUCCAAGCAUUAGGGUUUGUAUGAGCACAUAGGAUGUCUUAUGACCAAAACCCAUCAGUGGUAUCAGAGCCUUGAUUGGUUUCUAUUGUAUUGAUGCUUGAUAUGUUUGAAAAUUUCGAAUUUUGUGUUUCUGGAGGAUGAACUCGCCGAGUCCAUAGAUGAACUCGCCGAGUCCAUGCUGACUCGACGAGUCCAUGCCUGACUCGGCGAGUCGGCUCGUCAGAAGGAGGGAAAACCGGGAUUUCUUGCUGUUUUUGCUUAAGGAUAGUUGCCUUAUCAUAUUAGAUCAAUAUAAAUCCGAUUUUAUGAUAUAUAUGACUAUAUUCUUGAUCUAAUUGAAGAUAUUUAUCAAUUAAUAAAAUAUUUGUUUCCUUAUGUGAUAAUUGAUUAAUUAUUUUGAUUAAAUUGAUAAAUUGUUUUGCAAGAAAUCAUUAAAUAAAUCAAAUAUGGAUAAUUAUGUGAUUAAAUGUUAAUUUAGAUUAUUUGUUAUUUGAUCCUUGUUGUUAUGAAAAGUUUCAUAUUUUCCCCUUUAGGUUUUAUAGUUUAAAUUUGAACCCAAAAGUUUUGUUGUUUUGAAAUUUAAAUAGUUGAAACCCUAAUGUUUUGAAAAAGGUUUCAAAACUUGCCCUCAAGUUUUGGAAUUUAAAUUUUGAUUAAAUAGUUUAAUUUUGAUGUAUAUUUAAAUUCUAAACCCUAAUGUGUUGAAAUGUUUCAAAACUUGCCCUCAAGUUUUGGAAUUUAAAAGUUGAUUAAAAGUUUAAUUAGGAAUGUUAAAUUCUAAAACUCUAGUAUAGUUUUGAAAAAGUUCAAAUCACACCCUUAUGGUUUUAUUAAUUAAUUAAGGUGUAUAAUUAAAAGAGGUUUAAUAAAUCCAUAAAAGUUUAGGUUUACAAUUUAAUUGAAUUAAAAGUAUAAUUGUUAAAUUUGACCACCUAGUAUUUUAAAAGUGUAAAAUACACCCUAUACUAUAUAUAACAUUAAAAGUCUAACAUUAUAUAUAUGUAUGAGUAAAAGUCAGUCUUACCGUUAGUAGGCCUCAUUCACGAAGCUGGUCUAUAAGGGGUGUUUAAGGAAAUUGCCUAUAAAAUGGCGAUUGAAUGGGUAUCCACUCUUACCCACCGCACUCUUGACUAGUGGAGGGUCGUUAGCCGAACGGGUAGGAUAGGACGAAACCUUCCAUUAUAAGUAUAAUGAAGUAUAAAAGUAACUAAAUGUUUUCAUAAAAUUCCCAAUCUUAGUUACUUAGGCAAAAGUGAAUUGAUGCAAUUCCAUGAAAUUACACUUUGUGCCCUUGCGAAGACGUUAGUGGAGCGUGUGUGGUUUACCGGCACACUAAAUGGUUCUAAGCAAAGGUAGCAAAGGGUGACUCAAUGUUUGUCAUAGUUCGGUGGAGCGUGUGUGGUUUACCGGCACAUCGAAUAGGUGACUGUAACAUGUGAGGGCACCAUGUAAGUUUGCAUGGUUAUUCACACCCGCUUUGUGAUCCUCGGCAUCCCAGUCACAAACAAGAGGGGCAUAUCGAGAUUUAAACAUGCCAUUGAAAAGUUCAAUGAAUCUCAAAGGAUCUAGGAGUUUUCAUAGAUUUAAAACUUAAAUUUCUUUUUCGUUUUUCAUGGUGGAAAUUAGUGAAUCGUCAUUCACUUACCUUCAAAUGUUCUGCAAUUUGGGUUACGGCAUCCCUCUCCCGAGUUGUAGAAUAUUGUGUUGGGUCCUAGCCUUAGUAUCUCAUUUGGGUGAUUUACUAAGGACUCAAUCAAUCAACUAACUUGAAUUCGUUUUCUCCCGUUUUGUAGAUGUCAAAGUUCGACAACUAUGGUCUUCCCAAAUCCCGUGGAACAAGCUUUCCACAUGAAGAUGAUAUUCCACGAUUCGAUCGAGGAACAAGAAAUCAUGCUUCACUUCCUCCACCUCCUCCAAUUAUUCUCCCUAACCCACAAGUUCAAAGGCUUGAAAAGUUCAAGAUCACUCAAGCCCUUUUGGCAAGUAAACAUAAAGAAGGAAAGUCGGUGUGUGCACACGUCCUAGGGAUGAAGUCACACAUUGAUAGGUUAAGAAUGUUGGGAUCCGUUGUCUGUGAGGAAAUGGCUGUUGAUUGGGUUCUUCAGUCACUUCCUAACUCAUAUAGUGAGUUCGUAAGAGAGUACUAUAUGAUGAACCGCGACGUGACCCUUAUAGAUCUCACCUAUAUGCUUAUUGCUGCUGAAUCAGCAAUGGUUUGGCGCAAUAGAAAAGCAAAGUUGAUUGGUGAAUCUGCCUUCAAGACCUCUAUGGAUAUAGACAAUGGCAACGAAAGACAUGCUAUGAUCGAAAAGUUUGAUCAUAAGAGAAAGGCAAUGUCUGAAGUAGUUCCAUGUCAUGUUCCAAAAGAGUCAAUUUGCUUUUAUUGCCAAGAGAAAGGGCAUUGGAGACGAAGCUGCCCCAUUUACCUAAGAGAUCUAAGAGAUGGGAGAGUCGAAACGUAUGGCUCUAAUAUAGGUAAAAUCCAUUAACUAACUCUUUUAAGCUUCUAUUCUAGAUUCUUAAUACAUAAUGUGAUAAGAUUACAAUUGAUGUUUUGUAGGAUCGAAGAAAAGAAAGGAAGCUUAAGGGAAGAAGUGAGCAGAAUCUAACCGUGAAGGAAUGGAUUUCGAUCGCAUUUCUCGAAGAUUAGAUUCUUGAGCUACUACUUAGAGUUAGAAUUAGAUUGCUAAGAAAGAUGUAUUAGCAUAGUUUUUCAAUGAAUUGCAUUGUAAGGACAAAAUUUUUCCGCAAUAAAAUAAAUUUUGAUUUUAUAUUAUUUAUUUAUCCUUGCAAUGGCGUAUAUGAAAAAUUGAUGUUUGAAUGUUUCUAUUAUUAGCAAUAAUGGAUUUGGUUCUUAUUAUGUUAUUUAUGGAAAGUCGAGAAUUUACCAAAUAGGGAGAGUUUCUCAUCGCCCAAGUUUCAAUUGGACAGAAACUUGGAAUCAUGCAACUUGGUUGCACGAUGAAUGAGAAAUUUCAUAUUUGGAAAUUAGACUAAUUCAUUGACAAAGUGUCAAGUGAAGGACUAGGAGAUCGAGUACACAAAGUUGCGUGUUGAUCAAGUCCACCAUAAGAGUAACAAAGAUAUUCGUCAUGAUUUACUAAAGGUUUAGUAAAUAUGAUUAUACUUAUAAGAUUAAGUGUAAUUCUGAAUUGAUUUAAAAGGUUUAAAUCAAUAGCAGAACGAAUAAGAAGAAUCAAGUAGGCAGAAAGAUAAAAGUUUCUCCAUUCUAAGAAGAAGGGAGAGUACCUUUUAUGCUUUAUGAUAGGUCUUAAUGAUUAAGAACCAUAUCUCAAUUGAUCCUCUAAGUGAGUCUUAGUACAAUUGUAUGUCUAAGAAGAGGAAUCAAGAAUUGAAGAAAUGGUUAAAUCAAGAAGUCAAUCAUACUUCGUUCCAAAACAAGUCUUAGAGUUAAGAUUGUGACAUUGAGUGAUAAGUAUUAAGAAGGUUUAUAACAUUCAUUAAAUGUGGAAAGUUGUGAUGUCUUGGAUAAGACAAAGACCAACUAGGACCAAUUUAUGAAGUGUUUUGAUAAAAGCUACACUAACUCUUGAAUAUUUGUUUGUCAAGAAAUGUUUUUUGACAAGAGAAUCUUAUAUGUCAAGGAGUCAGUGGGAGUCUUAAUGGUCUUGAAAGGUUUCAAGAACAAAUCAAAUAAACCUUAUCGAUCAUCACUAGCACACGAGUUGAGGUUUACAACCUAUCGUGUUGACAUUAUUUUGAUUCUGUGCCAAUCCAAUCGAGUUAAUUAUGCAUGUGAGUUCUAUGAGUUCUCAUUUUGAACGCAUAAAAGGCAAAGCACCUUAAUCAAUGAAAGGUACAUUGAUAGGAAAGGGUGAGCUGCUUAACUACUUGGAAGACAUGGUGGGCAGCUGUGCUACCAUAAAGGCAAGAAAUCGAGAUCAAGAAAGUUCGAUCCAUAAGAGUUUGAAUUUGUCGUAAACUUUGGUUUUGACAAAUUCACAUGGAUAGGAACAAAUACACUGUUUAAAUCUAAGUGUCAUAAGAUUUCCUCCUUCAUGAAAAUGAUUGUGAGGAAAUGCUUUCACUAAGACAGAUUUUAAGAAGAUAGUGAUUGUAAAAUUGCAUUCUCGAAUUCAAUUAUGGUUACGGCAUCCCUUUCCAUAAUUUGAAUUGUGAGGUUUGGCAAUUAGUCUUAAUUGUUUAGACACACAUAUGAACUAUCGAAGGCAAAUGUGUAUAAGUUCAAGAAACCUUGAUAAAAGAUUAUCAAAGCACUAAGUAUUAGAAACAUGAACUUAAGAAAUUCAAUAAGCAUUUUUUUUCUGAAAGUUAAGAUGUUUAUGAAUACAUGUCGAAGCUAGUGGGAGCAUAAGUGUUAUGUUUUAUAAUAAUCAUCAAGAUAGUGGGAGCAUAAAAGUUAUGAUUGUAUGAUUAUUAAGGAAAGUAUUGCAAGGUUAGCAAUAUUAAUUAUAGAAAACAAGAGUCAUACUUUGCAAAGUCGCAAUAGUUGAAGAGUUGUUUUGCUAUAAUUAAGGGAGAGAAUAUUAUGCUUCAUUUCAAAUCUAAAGGUUUAGGUUGAGAAAUGUUAAUAAAAUUUAGUCAAAGGUACAAAGUGUGUUCUUAAAAUUUCGAUUAUGAUUACGGCAUCCCUCUUCACAAUUCGAAUUUUGAGAACAUAGCAAAUAAAACAUUAUGCGUCGUGUCCCAUACGCUUCGGGUAUAGGAUCGAUUGCAAAUGCUUUAAUGUUUGACCAUUCUAAAAUUUUCCAAAUGUCGAGCGCAUUUAGAGGGAAAAGGGACUAGAAUUGGUUUUGACUAAAAUAAUUAAACAACUAUCAAAGGACAAUCCAAAGUUCGACGAGGAUUGGUCGCUUGUGAGUAGUUGGAAGUAUAGUAUUGGAAAAUAUGGAAAUGUUUCCAUAUUGGAUGGACCAUAUCGACAUCAUUACGAAUAGAUAAGAUUCUAUUAAGAAUGAGUUGUCAUAUGGAACAUAUGGAAGUGUGUCCAUAUUGGGAAUUGAAUAUUGAGAAAUCUAUGACUAGAUUAGAAACUUCUAUGCAAAAGGAUGUUCAAAGAAUGUACUUUGAGUGAGAGACAUCACAUCUAUGGAAUUGUCUUGUAACAAUCUCCGAUAGAGGACUUUGUAAUAUCAUUGGCAAUAGUCUUUGUGACUUUGGUGCAGUGACAUUACGAAAGGAUAGUUGCAUAGAAUGUUAGAAUCUAGCAUAUUCUAUAAGUAGCAAGAAUUUGAUAUUCUUUCACUUAUGAAAAAGGAUUUGGAGUUGUGAAAUGAGAAUGAUUGGAAAUGUGUUCAAUGUGAUCUAUUUCACAAAGUAAGAACCAUAGGUAAACAUUGUGUGCAUGCUAGGAGCAUGGGACAAGUGUAAUAAUUCAAGUAAGAAGUUGAUUACCCGAAACGACAAAUAAUGAGUAAUCGAUAUGGUGAUAAAUAAAAGGUGUUUUAUUUAUACUCAAAGGUUUGAGGCCAUAUGGGAUUAGUAUUAUUCUUGUGUUUCACAUUUGCAUGUUUUGACUUCCAGAAUAAUUGAGUUUAUUAAGAAUAAUCGAAUUAUUCAAACGGGCCACAGUCGUUCAUAUGUUGGAAGUAGAUAUGAAUGAAGACUGUCGUGAAUUGGUGUGUGGAUUGUCUAAAAGAGUAUUAGACAUAAGCAAAUGUUUGCUGCAACGUUCAUGAGUGCUUAUGAAUAUGAUUUGAGCAUUGGAUUAAACCCACGCUCACUUGGAUCACUCCAUGAAUUGUAUCACGAGUGAUUGGUGAGACGAUAACAUCUUAUAUUCUUGAAACCGAGAUGUGUGAGUUGUAUCUUGCAAAUCGGUUGCACAUUGAUAAUAUGUAAACGCACUAGUAACUUGGUGUUAUAAAACAUAUUGUUGUGUGUGAUUCGGUGCGUGAGUGCAAGCGAGCAUUGUAUCAAAGUUUAUCCGUUCCUUUUAUUCAAAGUAGGAUAAAAGCGAUAUCUUUGGGCCCCUCGAUGGUUUAGUGAUGACAAACGUAAAUGCUCGGCCGGGCUAGGGCUAAUUUGAUUUGUUCAAUUAGUCAGUCGUCAUAAAUCGGAAAUCGAGAUAUAGUACAAAGAGAAUGAUUUGAAAUCAUAUCUCAUAUGAUAUCUAGAAUGGAGGAAUAUAUGAUCCCUUAUCUAAGGACACGCGUAUCUGAUAGGAUCAGAGUUGACAGCGGCUUUGGAAAGCUACGAUUGCAGAUCAGGAUCUGAAGUCAUACGCAUAAUAGUUAUUAGACUUAUCCAAGUGGGAGACUGUUGGAUUAGUGUCUAAGUCCAUAACUAUUUUGGUAUGUACUUGACCCGAUGGUGCAUGGUCCUUUUGGGUUGCCUUCACCAAAGCAACUUGAUUGGAGAAAUAAAUAGAGAGAGAGGUUAUUAUGAUUUAUUAAUAUGUUAUAAAUAAUAUAUAUUAAAGGAGAAAUCAUAUUUGUUUAAUUAAUAUUGGUCAAUAAUUAAUUAAGAAUUAAUUUUGUGGUCAAGUGUAAUUAAUUAAACUAGAGGGGCUAAAUUGUAAUUAUGUGAUAGUUACAAAAUAAGGUAAAGAUUAUCUUAUAUAUAUGGUGGACGAAUUUGAAGUGAUAAUCACUUAGAAAUUGACUAUGAUAAGGAUUCAAGGAUUAUCUUAUGGGUUGCUUGGUGGAUAAGCAACUAGAUAAGGAUAAUGACUGAAACUCUAUCUUUACACCUAUAUAAACCCCCUAGGGCUUAGGAAUUCGUCUAACCCUUCCCAAGAAGUCCUAAGGACGAAUUCCUACCUCACUCCUCUGUCUUUAUACCUUCUCCACUUGCUCUUGGUGUUUGUAAGCCAUUAGAGGAGUGACACUUGUGACUCUAAGCAUUCCAAAGUCAAUUCAAGGUGGAAUUGGGAUUGUUAUUGCUACAUAACAAUCAAGGUAAUAUCUUAAACCUAAUUAUAUGUUAAUAUCGAUUUCCAUAUGUUAGAAUUAGGGUUUAUAGUCUUGGAUUCAAAGUUGUACAAUAGAGAAACCUAGAUCCAAGUAUUAGGGUUUGUAUGAGCACAUAGGAUGUCUUAUGACCAAAACCCAUCAGUAUUCUCGAACAUGUCACAAAGAAAUACCAUAAUGUAUUUCAUGCUAGAAUUUAUAUAAUGAUCCAUAAAGAUAUACAUGUAUUAUUAUUAUUAUUUUAAAGUGCAUAGAUCAUUAAUGUAUCAAAAUAAUAACACUAAACUCUUUACACAAAUGGAUGCCAUUUAAGGCUACAUAUGUCCUAUUGGUCACGACAUGAACAUAGAUUAUUCAUAUACAGUUUAAAAAAAAAGGGUUAUUAUUCGUUAAUAAUAAUAUGUACAUUAUAUUUCGUAUGAUCAAGUCAUUAUAGUGUUAGGGAAACGGUAUUAAUUUACCUUUAAAGUUGGUAAACGUACGUCAUUAUGUUUCCAAACAUCGUCAUUAGUAAACCGGUAACUAAACUUGGG